rnacentral:ncRNA from 1 species
AAUUAGCGUAAAGCAGGGAGGAUGUAUCCUCAAAGCGGAGCUAAAAGAGAUGCACCUUAGUAACAGCACCUUCGGGUGGAAAACUAAAAAAUAUAACGGUGAGUAGAGCUUGGUAGGUCAGAAAUGAUUCGAACAGCUUAGGCUCA